AUAAUCGGCUCCCACCGAUGCCAAAAGGCUCCUGUCGUUCAUUUCAAAGAGCCGGCUAUUAGAGCCUAUUAGUUCGCGACCGACACAUCACUACUGUAUGGUCGAAACUAGUUUGGAGAAAGGCUAACUUUCCACUCUGGGUCUCAGAUGAAGAAAGUUCUUGAUCUUCAACACCACUGAGCCCUGGCAGUUCAAGUGCAACAAAGUCUCGUUCCUGGCCAGUCUCCUCACACAAGUCCUCCUCCUGAAUAUUGGAGCUCCACCAUUUCCUCCAAGUCUUUCCUGACAUCUGGAAAGCCCUGCAGCACCUCCUGAAAGUCGUCGCAGGACAGACUGAAGCACUGGCAGUAGCAACAUCACCAACAUCCCUGCUGUGCUGUGGGAGGAUAAUCCAUAAAAAACCUGCUGUUCACUUCCUUAAAUCGCAGCGAGGUUUGAGGAUAAGCAGGAGUUUUUACUGGAAACCAUUUAACGAGACAGAUGACAGAGAGAUUUUUGCAAAAACCUUCUGCACGACAUGACACGCAGGUGCUCCUACAGACAAUUUGGGAAGAAGAACAACUUGCAGUGUGGAUUACGAGAUCUGUUAUUGUAUCCGGGGAGACACAAGCUUGGUAUUUGUUGUCUCAGGGGAUUUGGCUUUAGGACUGGAGGCUCAUGGGUUCAUGACCAGACGUGCACAGAUGGAAUAUUUUGGAGAAUUGUGACUAUUUGUUGGAGAAAUGCCAAUUUCCUGAGCAUCCCUUGAGCAAGAAACCUGGCUUAAAAAUAUUGAGUGACACAAAUGACUGAAAAGGCAGCAAUAUGCACGCCACGCCACGAGUUGGCUGUGUAUUUUGUCAAGAAACAUUCCCAACAACUGCCUGUUCUUCCAGAUCUUUUCGUUAACUGCAGAAUUCCAUUCAAAUAGAUGGACUCCAAGUUCUGUUGUUUUUAGCGUCUAAAAUACAAAGUGUCAGACAUGAACUCAGUGACGCACGGCCAGGGGAGGCAGGUGAGGCACAAUCCUUUUCAACUGUGCCUGGUUCAGAGCUGGUUCCCACAGCUUUGCUUUUCCAUUGUCAUGGUUCCGCAAUUGGUUCGCACUGAAACUGUCUUUUUUUGGUUCAACUCUGGCUCCAAAACCUUGCUGGGCCGAGUGGGCAAACGGUUUGCAUAAUGACAUGCCGGAGUUACCCAAAAAAAUUCUGCGACUUACCGCCAUAUUUUUUACAUUGCAUUGCAAACUCCAGCCAUCCUUCUUCUGCUAAUCCGAAGUCGGGUCGCGGGAGCAGCAGCCUAAACAGGGAAGCCCAGACUUCCCUCUACCCAGAUACUUUGUCCAGUUCCUCCAGGCGGAUCCCGAGGCAUUCGAAGGCCAGUUGAGAGACAUAGUCUUUCCAACGUGUCCUGGAUCUUCCCCGACGCCUCCGACUGGUCGGAUGUGCCCUGAACACUUCCUCAGGGAUUCGUCCAGGAGCCGUCCUAACCAGAUGCCCGAGCCAUCUCAUCUGGCUCCUCUCAGUGCGGAGGGGCAGUGGUUCUGAGCUUCUCCCGGAUGACAGUGCUUCCCACCUUAUCUCUAAGGGCGAGCCCAGCUACCCUACGGAGAAAACUCAUCUGUGCCGGGCGAUCUUGUCCUUUUGGUCAUUAACCAAAGCUCCUGCCCGCAGGUGAGGGUAGUAACGUAGCUCGUCCGGUAAACUGAGGGCUUUGCCUUUCGGCUCAGUUCCCUCUUCACCACAACGGACCGAUGCAGAGUCCGCAUCACUGCAGACGCCGCACCAAUCCGCCUGUCGAUCUCGUGUGCCAUCCUUCCUUCAAUCGUGAACAACACCCCAGGGUACUUAAACUCCUCCACUUGGGGCAGGAUCUCAUCCCGACCUGGAGAUGGCACUCUAGCCAUUAGCAAACUCUGAUAAUGGAAAAUGGACACCAGAGGAAACCAUUUGAUGUCCAUUUGGACAUCCGAAGAAGUGCAGAAGAAAUUUGAAACACCGGCAAGAACCCGGCCAAUACUGGAAUGCAUCAGAGGCGAGGUGGCUGCUGCGGGUUUUGUUUGUUUUUUCAAACAAAUAAAUCACAAACUCAAGAAAUGACAGGAGUGGCAGUGGUCGAACGAGAGUAAUGCCUUAUUUUGAGGAGCUCGACAAGGUUUUGGGCCACAGACACCGGCUUGCCAACUUGCUGGUGGAUUAAAUACCACAUUGCUGUACUUCUCCGAACUCCACCGAAACUCUGGAGGUCAUCACAAAAGAAGACCAAGGCACAAGUCAGACCUGUCUGGACUGCCGUUUUCCUUGCGGACCCAGCAGUCAGUCGGGAACUCCUCCAGCAUGGGGACAAAGUACUGGAUGCAACCGUUCCAGUGACACAGCAGGAAUAUCAUCAUGAACAGAGACAGGAUGCGGAAGAAGAGACGCACCACCUCCAAGUUUGCGUUGGAUACCUGAGAAAAGAAGACACUCACAGAAACGGACCAGCCUGGACACCCGGGCCAGUCGGAUCAGGCUGAGGAUGCGUACAAACAUGAGGAUCCUCAUCAUCUUGGUGGUCUUGGAGGGGUUGUCGUCAUUGUGGUAGUGUAAGUCCUAGCAGAGGCACAAUCGCACACCAGUGUCAUCUUAUUUUUAGGACCGCACACACACACACACACAAAAACAAACAAACAAUGUUUCGAUGUAAUAAUGUGCUUUAUUACCGCAAACAGCAGUAUGUAGCCAAUAGGGAAGGCGGCAAUAACAUCCGGAAUGAACCACGUCCUCAGGUAGCUCACUCGGAUCUGCUUGAUGUCCAGAAUAGCUUCCUGGGAAACACGAGAGAGGCAGCAUGACUCAGCAGGUAGACUGAUCUUUUUUUACAAGCUUGCACGCAACAAAGCUGUCAAUGAAUGCGCGCCGGGCACUUCAUUAGGUACAACCACAAGUUCUGUGUAUGUUUAUAGCAGGGGAGGGCAAACGUUUUGACUCGUGGGCCUCAUUGGGUUAAAAGAUUUGUAUAUAGGUGGCAUCAAGCAGAACGGCAUACUUGCUCACGGUGCAACGAAGCGAAAACAACGCAUCCACAGCAAGUUAGUGCAUCACAUAAAUCAACAACUAAGCGCUAAACAUAGCACGUAACUUAAAACUGUUAUUUCCAAAUGCCCGCAAGGCAUGCUGGGUCGUCCAGCUGCAACAACAAUAUGAACUGUGAACAAUAAAACAUUGGAUAUCAAGAGUAUGUUAACUCGUCCUUCUCUGACAACCUCCUCAACAUAUUUUGCGAUCUAGCAAAAAUGUUUAUAGCAGGGGCCACCAACGCGGUGCCUGAGGGCACCAGGUAGCCCCCCACGACCACAUGAGGCAGGUUUUCAGUUAAUAAUGUAAGAGUGCUAGAAUAAAAUGCAUUCUGAAAUACAAAAUGAGUGAGUUGUAGAUACCAACAUUUUGUUCAUGUUCUGGCAAAACAAGCAUAUUUGGUUUGUUUGGGUUGAAAUAAGAAAUGAAAGUAAAUGUUACAAAAAUGAGUAGCUCUUAGCCAUUUCCAAGUAGCUCUCACAAGAAAAAAUGUUGGAGACCCAUGGAUUAUAGUGUGUAGUGGCUCUGCCUAGUGGUGAGGUUGGGAAUUUCAUGAUGUCAAAGUGUCCUUCAGGCUGUACACAUUGGCAUUUAAACACAAUUUUCGGGAGAAAAACAGCUUUAAAGUUGCGCAAAACGUCCGAGUUUGAGCUGCCGCCAUGUGUCAUAUUAGCAUGCAAUGCAAAAACUCAGCCAGCAACUCCUGUCUGUGAGUUGAGCUUUUCCUUCGGCUUUUACCGUGUAACCCCGGUCAGCGUACACCCCGGUUAGCGUGUUCUUUGGUUAACGUCAAAGAUUUAAGCCAAAAUUUCGCCUCGGCCUUGUGUGCAAUAUGGUCCAACUGUGUUCUUAAUGUAUUUUUAUCACAAAACAUUGGUGUUAGCAGCCUAUUAGCAUACUAAUACAUGGAAACCAGAACCGAAAGUCAUCAGCAGUUGACUCUGUCGUUCUUUGCUAGCUAUCACAGUUACGCCACCAGUCUCUGCUUUUGUUAUUAAUCAUGGCGUCAAAAUAAGCCACAAUGGAGCCAAAGAAAGUUGCAGGUGCAGGAAUAAGAAGACGUCUUGAUCUUGCUUGCUGCAUAAAGCAAACACAAAGAGAAGCGACAGAAGAAACUUCAUUUGUACAGGGUGUCCCAAAUAAUAUUAUUAAUUAUUUUUUUCUCAUAAGUUUACGACUUUAUCCUCGGAAAUUUACCACUUUGUUCUCGUAAUAUUAUGAAUUUUUUUUUUGACUCUAUUGUUGUAAAUUUACGACUUUAUUCUCAAAAUCUCAGAUUAUUUCAAUAAUCUGUCAUUACAGGCAUUGCCUGAGACAGCCAUGAAAAGGGGAGAUUUAUGUGACCUUUGCCCUUGGGCAAAGGUAAUAUUGCAACUUUUUUUCUUGUAAAUUUACGACUUUAUCUUUGGAAAUUUACAACUUUAUUCUCGUAAUAUUAUGACUUUUUUUCUCGUAAAUUUACGACUUUACCCUCAUAAAUUUUAUCCUUGUAAAUUUACGACUUUAUCCUUGAAAAUUUAAGACUUUAUUCUCGUAAUAUUAUGACUUUUUUUCUCGGAAAUUCACCAAUUUAUCCUCGUAAAUUUUAUCCUUGUAAAUUUACGACUUUAUUCAUAUAACAUUGUAAAUUUCUGACUUUUUUUCUCGAAAUCUCAGAUGACUUUUUUUUUUUUCAAUGUGGCCCUAAUACUCCGUCGUAAAAUAGUGAUGUGCAAUACCGAUGAUUUUGUUUCUGAUCCGACAGAGUCAAAUUCAGUUCCAAUGAGGCCCUGAUACUACGUUGUAGAGAAACACUAUUGAAUUCAAGAAAUAACAAAACAGGAAGUUGGUAUUCGUCUUGAUCUCGCUGCCAUAUUGUGUCUUCGGCAACAAUGGCGUCUUCAUUGAAGGUAAAAGUAACCUUAAAUGUUCAUUCAUCCCUUUCAUUCAUGCAUUUACAUGUGUACAGAAUUGUUUUAUGCAUGUAAAACUAUAACUGUAAAACACUUUUGGCUUUCUGGAACGGAUACAUUGGAUUUACGUUAUUUCUUAUGGGAAAAACGGAUUUGGUUAGAGUAUGUUUCGGUUAGAGUCAGACGCUAACCAAGGUUCCACUGUGUUUGUUUGGUUUUUCACGUUUUUUUCGCUCCCUUUUUGUCUCCCACGACCUCCAUACAAAUGACAUGCACAUGUGCCAUGGCUAAUUAUGCUAAUUAUGUUUUGUGGUUAUGAUGCUCACCCGUAAAUGGUCAAAAAGAGAAUUGUUUGGAUGCGCACGUCACUUUUUAGUAAACCUUUUCCCUUCGUUAUGUUUCCAAACGUGAGACAGACUCGUCUGAUGUCAGCGUGUCAAAGAAAGGGAGAGUGAAAUUAGGCAUUGAGAAACACCUCUGCACAAGAGGGUCCAGCUGCAAUGCUGUAACUCACUGCUGUUACAGCACAUGGCAUGCUAAUGUGCUAUAAACAGCCCAUCCAUCCAUCUCCUAUGCCGCUUAUCCUCACUAGGGUUACGGGGGUAUGCUGGAGCCUAUCCCAGCUGACUUGGGGCGAGAGGCGGGGUACACCCUGGACUGUUCGCCAGUCAGUCCUGGGGCACAUGUAGACAAACAAUCAUUCAAUGCUAAACAUCGUGUGGUGGAAUCUAAGCGCACAGAUGGGCCGUUGGCGACUGACUAGCUGGAUGUGACAAAAGGUGAGCAGAUGAAGGCCAGCUUAGUGCCUCUCACGCAGCCAAUCCCUGUUACCAAACCUAACAGCAACGACCAAUUUCACCCAUUCGCAGGGGCAGGGGUAGCUGGGGGCGGGCGUAUUAAUCUAGACUUUUGUCUCCGUCCGUGGAGUGGAUUACAGAUGAGAGGGCCUGCGCAUGUGGUCUACACGGGGGUUACAGUGCUCCAGAUUGUGCCUGAAAAUAGAAAGCGUGCGGCCCGCCCUCACCUCGCCGUCCUCUGUUAUGAUGCCCAUGCGGAAAUUCAAGGCCACAUCAAUCAGGAAGAGCGUGUCGGAGAAGACAUUAAAGCCUUCCCAUGCCAGCCCGCUGGUCCUGUCCAGGAACGCUAUCUCCAUGGGGAUGCCAAUUAGGUUGAGGAAAGUGAUGGCCAUCAUGCCCAUGAUGUAGUAGCUCCUGUGGGAGGAACAUCACACAAAUGCAAGCGUUGAACAGGCCACGGGGUGUUUUCUUCUUUCUUGUCGAAUUUUUUUUUUGGGGGGGGGGAGUGGGACUAUGCGCCUAUGUCGGUCCACGUCACCAUUGCAAGGCUCAAAUAACUCUCUGCCGUGUCUCCUUUUUCACGCCGCCUGAUCACCUUACUGCUGACAACAACACUGCAGGAGAUAAUGUGUCUGCAUCCAACACUUUGUUCCUGGAAUUCUUUCAGUCCCGUCCUUAUUUGUCCCCCCCCCCCACACACGCACAUGCUGAUACAGUUCUACAAAUACUAUUUUGGGCAGCUAGAUAGUUUAUUGGUCCUUUGCAGGAACUGACUUUGUUUCAGCAGCCGUGCUCAUAAACAGACCUGUUUUUUCAUGCGUUAUUUCACCAUUUAGCUUGCAAAGGAUGUUCUUACAUAAGUCAUUAUGAAAUGUGCUGAAAUGACGUUGCAGUUGACAUAAUUAAUCAUGAAAUGCACCACAGUCAAUAAGCAGCUGAGGUCAAUAUGCAUAAUUGAUAUGAAAUAUAGUGGUACAGAUAUGAAUACUGCUAAAUUCAAUAGUAAAUGCAUACAAAUAGGAAUUCCACUGCAGUCACCAUGGAAUGCAUUACAACGUAUGUGAAAUGUACUGAUAGAAAUGUGAAUUUUAAGGCUGUCAAAUGAUUACAUUUUUUAAAUAAUCACCAUUUUCAAAUGAAUUCAUCAUGAUUCAUCACCAUGUCACACUGUUACCUUGUAUUACGUCAUCAUAUUACCUUAUCAUUUUCCUAUGCAUUUUAAACUAGCAAAGAGUACCUUUGGAGUACAGAAAGUGAACAAAUGCAUUGCAGUUGAUGUGAAACGGAUGGGGGUGUAGGAUUCAAUAAGCUUUGCUUCUUCCUACUCCUUUUUGGACAUGUAGUACUGUAAAUUGUACUAUGUGAAGUAUUCCAAUGUAAGUUGUAUGCAUGUUCAAACAUUAUCAGGUCUGAAAUCUGCCCAUGUUUACUGUAUAUUAGGAUAUUUAUAUUUGUAUAUGUAUUAACAGCGCCAAAUUAACUAAAAAUAAAGAGAUGGCACACGUGUCUGAAAAUCUAUUUACCAAACACUGGUUUCUUUUAACACGUCUAACUGUGUUGUCAUGAGCAACGAGGAAUGGCGUUCAAAGACACCACGUCAUUUAAGAUGAAAUCACAUGUUUUUGAGUGAAUUUUCUGGGAUUUCCGAGCACACUUAAAUGCAGCAAAUUGUACUUUCGCAUUAAGAGUUGCAAAGUGAGUGACAAGAAUAUCCACUUAUUGAUUUUCAUUGCAUUUCUGUUGAUUUAGACCACAGGUGUCAAAUUCAAGGCC